GAUUAGUGGCGAACGGGUGAGUAACACGUGAGUAACCUGCCCCUGACUCUGGGAUAAGCGUUGGAAACGACGUCUAAUACUGGAUAUGAUCACUGGCCGCAUGGUCUGGUGGUGGAAAGAUUUUUUGGUUGGGGAUGGACUCGCGGCCUAUCAGCUUGUUGGUGAGGUAAUGGCUCACCAAGGCGACGACGGGUAGCCGGCCUGAGAGGGUGACCGGCCACACUGGGACUGAGACACGGCCCAGACUCCUACGGGAGGCAGCAGUGGGGAAUAUUGCACAAUGGGCGAAAGCCUGAUGCAGCAACGCCGCGUGAGGGAUGACGGCCUUCGGGUUGUAAACCUCUUUUAGUAGGGAAGAAGCGAAAGUGACGGUACCUGCAGAAAAAGCACCGGCUAACUACGUGCCAGCAGCCGCGGUAAUACGUAGGGUGCAAGCGUUGUCCGGAAUUAUUGGGCGUAAAGAGCUCGUAGGCGGUUUGUCGCGUCUGCUGUGAAAUCCCGAGGCUCAACCUCGGGCUUGCAGUGGGUACGGGCAGACUAGAGUGCGGUAGGGGAGAUUGGAAUUCCUGGUGUAGCGGUGGAAUGCGCAGAUAUCAGGAGGAACACCGAUGGCGAAGGCAGAUCUCUGGGCCGUAACUGACGCUGAGGAGCGAAAGCGUGGGGAGCGAACAGGAUUAGAUACCCUGGUAGUCCACGCCGUAAACGUUGGGCGCUAGAUGUAGGGACCUUUCCACGGUUUCUGUGUCGUAGCUAACUCAUUAAGCGCCCCGCCUGGGGAGUACGGCCGCAAGGCUAAAACUCAAAGGAAUUGACGGGGGCCCGCACAAGCGGCGGAGCAUGCGGAUUAAUUCGAUGCAACGCGAAGAACCUUACCAAGGCUUGACAUACACCGGAAACGGCCAGAGAUGGUCGCCCCCUUGUGGUCGGUGUACAGGUGGUGCAUGGUUGUCGUCAGCUCGUGUCGUGAGAUGUUGGGUUAAGUCCCGCAACGAGCGCAACCCUCGUUCUAUGUUGCCAGCGCGUUAUGGCGGGGACUCAUAGGAGACUGCCGGGGUCAACUCGGAGGAAGGUGGGGAUGACGUCAAAUCAUCAUGCCCCUUAUGUCUUGGGCUUCACGCAUGCUACAAUGGCCGGUACAAAGGGCUGCGAUACCGUAAGGUGGAGCGAAUCCCAAAAAGCCGGUCUCAGUUCGGAUUGAGGUCUGCAACUCGACCUCAUGAAGUCGGAGUCGCUAGUAAUCGCAGAUCAGCAACGCUGCGGUGAAUACGUUCCCGGGCCUUGUACACACCGCCCGUCAAGUCAUGAAAGUCGGUAACACCCGAAGCCGGUGGCCUAACCCUU
rnacentral:rRNA from 1 species